GAUGAAGAACGUAGCGAAAUGCGAUACUUGGUGUGAAUUGCAGAAUCCCGUGAACCAUCGAGUCUUUGAACGCAAGUUGCGCCCGAAGCCAUUAGGCCGAGGGCACGCCUGCCUGGGUGUCACACGUCGUUGCCCCCCCAUCUACUCCUUCGGGAUUGCGGGGGGCGGAUGAUGGCCUCCCGUGCGCCUCGUCGCGCGGUUGGCAUAAAUGCCAAGUCCUCGGCGACGCACGCCACGACCAUCGGUGGUUGCGAAACCUCGGUUGCCCGUCGUGUGCGGUCGUCGCGCAUCGAGGGCUCGAAAAAAUUGCCGGGCUCCGGCUCGGCUUUCAACGCGACCCCAGGUCAGGCGGGGUUACCCGCUGAAUUUAAGCAUAUCAAUAAGCGGAGGA
rnacentral:misc_RNA from 1 species